rnacentral:rRNA from 1 species
GACGAACGCUGGCGGCGUGCUUAACACAUGCAAGUCGAACGGAAAGGCUCCAGCUUGCUGGAUUACUCGAGUGGCGAACGGGUGAGUAACACGUGGGUAAUCUGCCCUGCACUCUGGGAUAAGCCUGGGAAACUGGGUCUAAUACUGGAUAUGACCUUUCUCCUUAUGGGGUUUGGUGGAAAGUUUUUCGGUGUAGGAUGAGCCCGCGGCCUAUCAGCUUGUUGGUGGGGUGACGGCCUACCAAGGCGACGACGGGUAGCCGGCCUGAGAGGGUGAUCGGCCACAUUGGGACUGAGAUACGGCCCAGACUCCUACGGGAGGCAGCAGUGGGGAAUAUUGCACAAUGGGCGGAAGCCUGAUGCAGCGACGCCGCGUGAGGGAUGACGGCCUUCGGGUUGUAAACCUCUUUCAGCAGGGACGAAGCGUAAGUGACGGUACCUGCAGAAGAAGCACCGGCUAACUAGGUG